UCAGACGGUCGGAUGGCCGCUCCCCGGCACGGGAAACCAGCCGGGGGGAGGAAAGUCCGGGCUCCACGGAAACACGGUGCCGGGUAACGCCCGGCGGGGGCGACCCCAGGGAAAGUGCCACAGAAAGCAAACCGCCCGGCGCCACUUCGGUGCCCGCCAGGUAAGGGUGAAAGGGUGCGGUAAGAGCGCACCGCGUCCCCGGUGACGGGGAUGGCAGGGUAAACCCCACCGGGAGCAAGACCGAAUAGGGGCGGUAUUUGUGUGUUUUCGCACCGCCGCCCGGGUGUGUCGCGCGAGGCGUCCGGCAACGGGCGUCCCAGAUGAAUGGCUAUCACGUUCCCUGCGAAGGGGAUGGACAGAACCCGGCUUACAGACCGUCUGACACU
rnacentral:RNase_P_RNA from 1 species